AAUAUCUUUAAAUAGAGUGUGUUUAGAGACCACAUGGGAGCCAUCUCUGAGGUCAGCACAUGUCAGAGGUGCAGACUUCAUGCUCUUUCACUAGACCACCAGGGAUCCAGGAUCCAUGCAAGACUGCCAGAGUACGACCCCCACUGGACCUACAGGGGAAAUGCACCAGAAAAGCAGAGCAGAAGGAAGGAGUGGCAAAACAGAGUACUAC